CCAGACCCUACUUAGCCUCAGAGGUUUCACCAGACCCUGCUUAGCCUCAGAGGUUUCACCAGACCCUACUUAGCCUCAGAGGUUUCACCAGACCCUGUUUAGCCUCAGAGGUUUCACCAGACCCUGCUUAGCCUCAGAGGUUUCACCAGACCCUGCUUAGCCUCAGAGGUUUCACCAGACCCUGCUUAGCCUCAGAGGUUUCACCAGACCCUGCUUAGCCUCAGAGGUUUCACCAGACCCUGCUUAGCCUCAGAGGUUUCACCAGACCCUGCUUAGCCUCAGAGGUUUCACCAGACCCUGGUUAGCCUCAGAGGUUUCACCAGACCCUGGUUAGCCUCAGAGGUUUCACCAGAC